AUAUAUAACUUUUGAAAUUAAUUCCUAUCAAAAGUAAUUCCCUAACAAUACAGGAAUUAAACAUUUUUGUUUUGGUGAGUGCAACCAUUCAAUUCAAACAUUGAAAAUAAGGGAAGUAACAAAUCAAUAAGAAUGAUCAAUAUUCUUUACUGGCAAAAAUUUGUUUAAAUCCCAGCAUAACUUUCAACACCUUAUUCCUCUAAGUUCCAGAUAAUAUAAUACUGAAUCUGAUAGAAAUUUUAAAUUAUAUAUUAUAUAUUAAAGUUAUUAUAUUAAAUUGGUAAUGACAUAAACUUGUAUUUUUGUUUUUUUCAGUGAUAAUAUAGCUCACAAAUUGAAGAGGUGAAAUUCUCCUAAAAAUGUCUUCAUUUUCUGUAAAUCACUUGGAAAAGAAAAUUAGGACAUUGACCAUGUCACAACAAAGUAUUCAGACAUUAUCGUUAUGGUGUAUACAUCACAGAAAACAUGCAAAGACGGUGGUUCAAUUCUGGUUUAAAGAACUACAAAGAGUUAAACCCAAAAAGAAGCUGGCACUGAUGUAUUUAUCUAAUGACAUUUUACAGAACAGUCGUCGAAAAGGUGGAGAAUAUGCAAAGGAAUUUGGAAAUGUCAUGCCAAAUGCAUUAGUGCAUUGUUCUGAAUUACGCGAUGCAAAAAUCACAGAAGCCUUAAGAAGAAUUAUCGGCAUUUGGAAAGAAAGAAACGUUUACCCAGUUCCAAUGUGUGACAGAUUGACUAAAUGCUUGGAUCAAGCAGGCUUUGGGGAAGAAGCAAGUACAACGCCACCACUUGAUACAAGUCCGGUUAAGGAGAGCAAACAAGUCGAGCAAGAAAUUGAGUUUUCCGUUACUGACUAUAAACGACCAGAUAAGCCACCGGACCCCGACGAGUUGGUUAAAAGACUUCAAGAUCUAGAAAAUUCUGCCACACAAGACGCUGUGGUGAGAGAACGAAUUGCAAAUCUUCCAACAGCAGUCACCGACCCAACACAUAUCGAUAAAGUACAAGAUUUGGUAGAAGCAAAAAAGUUAAAGGAAGAAAUAGACAAUGCAUGCUCGUUGUUGGCAGAAUAUAAUGCAAGGUUAGAAACUGAACAAAAAGACCGGCAGACGGCACAGAAGAUGUUAUUGGAUUACACGGCCUGUCAGAAAUACCAACUAGCCAUAACGCAGGAACGAAUUGAGGAAUACGUGGCGAAGCUUCAGAAAGUGACAGCAGUGGAAAAAGAACUACAAUCGCACUUGGACAAUUUACCCGAUUUGUCAAAACUACCGAAUCCUGUGCCGCUCCCGUCUGCCGGAGAUUUAUUCGCAACAUCCUCCAAAGGUGUUAAGUGACCUUUGGAAAAAUUUAAAGCGUAUAAAUAAGAAUGCCCUUGUCAUUUUAAGCAUUUUUUUUUUCAGACCGUAUUGUAAAUAUCCGAAGAACUAGAUAUAAAUAAUUUGAAGAGCUAAAAAUAGAAGAAUAGGAAGCUAAGAUUGAUGGAAAGAGCAGAGAAAAAUGUUAGAGAUAAAUUUUUUACUAGAUAAUAUAAAUAUUAUGUUAUGAAUUGCUUUGGCUACUUUGGGACAGCUACAGGUGUCAUCAUUAAAUGUGUCAUCAUUCAUCAUUGAAGUUUUUAUCGACAGACGAUAAAGUUUAUCUACCUUCAGGGAAUUAAUUUUUGCGUGAAAUCUUUUAAUAGUAAAAUUUUGAUUUCGCGAGAACCAUAACUUACACGAUGUUGUCAAAUCGUGAUAUCUCACAAAAAAUAAAUUUUAAUUGAUGACAUUUUGUUUCUUAAUUUACACAUUUUCACGGAUUUUAUGUGGGAGACUGCUAAAGUUGAAUACAUGUUAUAAUUCUAGGGAAAUAAAAAAAACAUGUUAUAAUUCUAGGGGAAUAAAAAAAACAUGUUAUAAUUCUAGGGAAAUAAAAAAAUACAUGUUAUAAUUCUAGGGAAAUGAAAGAAAUAAGUGUCAAUACUUUUCGUUGGGUAGACAAAAACUCACGAAAUCUGCGAAAAUUAAUUCCCUUCAGUUAGUUUUGCCCAUUUUUUCUUGCUAACAAAAAAGUGGACAAUUUUUUGGUACUGUUGCAUCACGUUUUCAGUCUGUAUUAAAAUAAUGUAAAAUAAAAAAAUCUGUAUGAAUCUAUAUUACAGAAUUUGGAGGCGUAAUAACGUGAAAUCCGCCUGAAGGGGAAGUGCCGAUAAAUUAUGUACAUUUUUUCCUAUUAACUGACUAAGAACGCCACACAAGGCCUACCAAGCAAACGUUCGGACCUUUCUCGUAUUUGAGAUUUUUGGGGCUGGGAAAAGAAGCUCAGACGCACCUUACCCAUAUCCCCCUCCCUUCCUCCCCGUUAACUACGCCCCCUGGUGAUGCUAUUGUAAGAUCUAUACAUUUUUAUAAAUCAAAGAACAGGGUUUCGUAUUAAUUAAAUGGGACAGGUGAUUUGCGAGAUAUCGAGUCAGAGAAAGAUUUUCCACACUUUCCAUUCAUCUUGUGACAAUUACAACUGUAACAAGUUACUGUGGUACAACUAGCAUGAAUUUUGGAUGGAAAUCAGUCGAAAUCAGUCGUAAACAUCACGUAUGAAAUAUGUCCCUGAAUUAAUGAAAACAACCUAUAACAUCGUAGCAAUAAGAAAGCUAUAUAUAGCCUGACUGUUGAAUCUGCAAAAAAAUAGUGGUGCAUCACUAAUGUCAUAGAAUAUGUUUACUUCUUAGAUUUGUAAAGAAACUAGCUUUUUUCAUAUUCGUGUUGGAUCCGUUUUUGUUCUGCAAAAUACACAUGCGAAAACGCGGAAUAACGUAAAAGCGAGAUUCGUUAUUAGCAAAUCUCUAGUUCACAACGAAGCAGUGCACGCAUAGUUUGUAUAUUUGCAUUAUUUGUUGUCAUACAGCCUAAUUAUUAAUAUUUAGUAAUAUAAGAUAAUAGCAUGUAUCCGCCAUUCACUGAGCAGUUUAUGGUUGAUUUUAAACGAGCUAAGCAAACUUGCUUUGUAUAUGAUUAAAUCCACAGAUAUUCGCAGCCGUUAUUCGCUUUUGGCUCACAGACGAAAGGUCGAUUAUUACAAUGUAAACCAGAUGAAUGACCUGGCGUGGACCUAGGCUAAAUGCAUGUAGAUUAUGGUGAAAAGCUUGCAAUCUCGUCCCCAGGGCUUUUUGUGUCUUAUCGGCGUUGCGUUUAUUGAUAGGUCUGACAAAAAGUAUUCUUCUUUUGUUACCAUCUUUGAAAAUGUUACCAAAUUUUUGAACAUAAUUCUGAAAUCCAACUUUUAAUUAAAAAUUACUAUUGUUUCAAAACAUCUGCAUAAUGUUUCUAUCCUGUAUUUCGCAGCUGAUAUGGAAACAAAUUUAAAAUUAAGAAUAUCCUUUAUAUUGUCGCGACAUGUAUUCACGUAACGAAGUAAAAAAGCUAUUGUAACUCAUAAGUGAUCUAUUGAUGCUUUUAAAUUUCAUUUCUUUACCAUAUAAGAAUUGAUUUAUCAAAAGAUUACUGUAAACGAAAAUCUAAUCUAGCCGUAAAAGUCGGUUAACCUGCAUGAAUGUUUGAGCAGAAAACAAAGAAUGAGCUAUAUUUAAAAGAAUACAGUGCAUUAGUCAUUCCUACAAUACAACAAUUGGAGAAUUGGCAGAUGCACAUGUGAAUUUAUAUGUGUCAAUGUCUCAUUGUCUGUAAUGUCAAAGUUUAAAUUUGUUUUUGUGAUGGUAAUUAUAAUUUCAUCUGCAUAAUUUUAUUGAUAAUGAACACGAAUACUGCAACGCGUACACCAGCCAACAUCAAGCAAGUUGUCGAUCCCUGGCCUCAAAAGUAACGGGAAAAAUGCAGCAAUCAAUAAUUAUAUUUUGUUUUCAUUCCUUCCUUGGUAUGCCGUUCAUAAUUAUUACAUGUGCCUAUCCCCAAGCCUUAAUGAAUAACGACCUUUAUCUUAAAACGUUCUACUACUUCGAUGGCAACGAAACAGCAUGUAGAAUACAAAGUGGAUCUCUAUAUGAAGCACAUCGUUGCCUGUGUUCAACAAAACAGAAAAAUACAGUUGUCAACGAAAGAUUGAUGGCUAAAAUAAAGAAUUUAUUUUCAGCAUGGUUGGAAGUUAAAGCGAAACGCAGUGAAAGACAAGAAGAGG